UACAGAGGGUGCAAGCGUUGUUCGGAAUUAUUGGGCGUAAAGCGCGUGUAGGCGGCUUUGCAAGUCGGGUGUGAAAGCCCUCGGCUCAACCGAGGAAGUGCGCCCGAAACUGCAGAGCUUGAGUACCGGAGAGGAUGGCGGAAUUCCCCAAGUAGAGGUGAAAUUCGUAGAUAUGGGGAGGAACACCGGUGGCGAAGGCGGCCAUCUGGACGGAUACUGACGCUGAUGCACGAAGGCCAGGGGAGCAAACGGG
rnacentral:rRNA from 1 species